ACAACUGUGUCAUACUCGACUGC
rnacentral:siRNA from 1 species